UAAUUACAACGAUACGUAAUACCAUGAAAGAAUAGACUGUAGUGUUUAAGCGAACGAUAAUGAGUGAACACAAAUUCUAGAUGGAGAAAGGAACUUCUAAAAUUGAAAUGUGAUCUACAAUUUAUGCAGCGGAGGAAUAUUUUAACACAAAUGAUUUCGCAAAGGAUUCAUACUACUAAUUACAGGCGGACGUAAAGGUGUACGGUGGAUGCAGUCUAUAAAAUAUUGAGGAUAUGGCAUAACGGAACUUCUGGGAAACUAUGGUGCUUACGACAUAUUUGGGAAUUUUUUCCAAAGCCAUUGAUAACUAAAGGUGUGAAAGUUUUUAUUUUAAUUGUCAAUAUAUGUGCAAUUUAUAAUCGCAAUGUGUAAAUUUGAAAUAUAUCAAUAAAAUAAAACAAAGGAUUGUUAUGAGAAUGAA
rnacentral:sRNA from 1 species